AAGUGCUGGAGCUGCAGAGAGGUCCCCAAACAGCAGAAACAAUGAGCGUGAAAAUAUUUGCAAUACCUGCCACGUCCAAGGUUCAGCUGAGGCCAAUGUAAAGCCAGUAUUAUAGGACACUUCUCAGACUGAGAGCCCAAUGUCGUUGGAAACCACUGGGCCACAGGAAAGGCAGGCUCUCUCAGUCCUGCUCCUGCCAUGGAAGAAGCCUGCUCCCACCAUGCCUUCUGCCACGAGUAAAAGUUCCCUGAGGCCUCCCCAGAAGCAGAUGCUGUCGUGCUUCCUGUAUAGCUGCAGAACUAAUCUCACUCUGUCGCCCAGGCUGCUGGGAUGCAAUGGUGUGGCGUGAUCUCGGCUCACUGCAACUAAUUUGGAGCAUCUUUCUAAGACUUUGCAUGUAAAUGUGACUGGAUGGCCAUCUGUCAGGAAAAGACUAGAAGAAUUGAAUUGGAAAAGCGAAAAAAAUAAAAGUGGAUGAAGACGUC
rnacentral:lncRNA from 10 species